ACACUGUCAGAUGACCAGUUGAGAGAGCUGGAGGCAGCCUUCCAGGUGGACCCUUACCUGCCGAGAGUCGACAGAGAGAAGCUGGCAAAACGUGUCAACCUUCACCAGAGGAAGCUUGAGAUCUGGUUCAACAACAGGCGAGCAAAGUGGCGGAAAACUGGAAAACGAAGACUGAACGGUCCCGUCCUGAGGGGGCCUCGUCCCAAGCGUCCCGACACAACAAGUGAGACGCCGAACGGAAGUUCUCAGAGCGCCCAACUCAC